UACGAGGGGAACAAGCGUUGUUCGGAUUUACUGGGCGUAAAGGGCGCGUAGGCGGUCGUGACAAGUCACUUGUGAAAUCUCCGGGCUUAACUCGGAACGGUCAAGUGAUACUGUCGGACUAGAGUACAGAAGGGGCAACUGGAAUUCUCGGUGUAGCGGUGAAAUGCGCAGAUAUCAGGAGGAACACCGGUGGCGAAGGCGGGUCUCUGGGCCGAUACUGACGCUGAGGAGCGAAAGCGUGGGGAGCGAACAGG
rnacentral:rRNA from 1 species